CGGGACGGGUGAGUAAUGUCUAGGGAAACUGCCUGAGGGAGGGGGAUAACUACUGGAAACGGUAGCUAAUACCGCAUAACGUCGCAAGACCAAAGAGGGGGACCUUCGGGCCUCUUGCCAUCGGAUGUGCCCAGAUGGGAUUAGCUAGUAGGUGGGGUAACGGCUCACCUAGGCGACGAUCCCUAGCUGGUCUGAGAGGAUGACCAGCCACACUGGAACUGAGACACGGUCCAG
rnacentral:rRNA from 1 species